rnacentral:rRNA from 1 species
GAUGAACGCUGGCGGCGUGCUUAACACAUGCAAGUCGAACGAUGAAGCCCAGCUUGCUGGGCGGAUUAGUGGCGAACGGGUGAGUAACACGUGAGUAACCUGCCCUUGACUCUUGGAUAAGCCCGGGAAACUGGGUCUAAUACCGGAUAGGAGCGCCUGUCGCAUGACGGGUGCUGGAAAGAUCUUUCGGUCAUGGAUGGACUCGCGGCCUAUCAGCUUGUUGGUGAGGUAACGGCUCACCAAGGCGACGACGGGUAGCCGGCCUGAGAGGGUGACCGGCCACACUGGGACUGAGACACGGCCCAGACCCCUACGGGAGGCAGCAGUGGGGAAUAUUGCACAAUGGGCGAAAGCCUGAUGCAGCGACGCCGCGUGAGGGAUGACGGCCUUCGGGUUGUAAACCUCUUUCAGCAGGGAAGAAGCGAAAGUGACGGUACCUGCAGAAGAAGCACCGGCUAACUACGUG